GGGGUCGUGGGGUAGCCUGGUCUAUCCUGCCGGCUUCGGGAGCCGGUGACCUGGGUUCAAAUCCCGGCGACCCCACCA
rnacentral:tRNA from 1 species